UUUGUGAUUUUUACUAGAAACGUGCUCACUCUACAGGUAGGAAGUCUCUAGCCUUUACAUUGUAUAUGAAAUAUGUUUUUUCAAGACAAAGGUGAUUGUUGGGUAAAGCCUGUUAGCAAAAACAUUCCUUUAGUUCAUACUGGAGGGGGAGAAAGAACCCACUUCUGCUGUAAAUUGAUCUGAUCCUCACAGGACAGUCAUGACACCACCACAAGACUUCGUACACAAGGCGGUUGGGGUUUGCAGCGUUUUCUUGUUCCUAACUUAGUCCCUCUCUCUACACUGGCAGCUGUGAGAACCCCGAGGAUCCAUACCGUGUGGUCUUCCACCCGGUAGUAGCUGACGCCAGGGUCCACUUCCCCCCUCACGUCAAACGCUUUGAGGCCUAUAUGUUUUCCUUCGCCGAGGAUGCGGUUGAGCCGAGUGGCCAGGUCUUUGUCCAUUGUGAUGUGGUCAUCUGUGAUGCCAGUAGUCCCUCUGGCAGCCCCUGUAGUGGACAAUGUGUGAAUCAGGACAACCU